GACGAACGCUGGCGGCGUGCCUAAUACAUGCAAGUUGAGCGCUGAAGGUUGGUACUUGUACCAACUGGAUGAGCAGCGAACGGGUGAGUAACGCGUGGGGAAUCUGCCUUUGAGCGGGGGACAACAUUUGGAAACGAAUGCUAAUACCGCAUAAAAACUUUAAACACAAGUUUUAAGUUUGAAAGAUGCAAUUGCAUCACUCAAAGAUGAUCCCGCGUUGUAUUAGCUAGUUGGUGAGGUAAAGGCUCACCAAGGCGAUGAUACAUAGCCGACCUGAGAGGGUGAUCGGCCGCAUUGGGACUGGGACACGCCCCAAACUCCUACGGGAGGCAGCAGUAGGGAAUCUUCGGCGAUGGACGAAAGUCUGACCGAGAAACGCCGCGUGAGGGAAGAAGGUUUUCGGAUCGUAAAACUCUGUUGGUAGAGAAGAACGUUGGUGAGAGUGGAAAGCUCAUCAAGUGACGGUAACUACCCAGAAAGGGACGGCUAACUACGUG
rnacentral:rRNA from 1 species